rnacentral:rRNA from 1 species
UUCCGGUUGAUCCUGGCAGAGGUUACUGCUAUCGAGGUUCGACUAAGCCAUGCGAGUCGAAUGUAGCAAUACAUGGCGUACUGCUCAGUAACACGUGGACAACCUACCNUUGGGGACGGGGAUAAACCCCGGGAAAUGGGUAUAAUACCCGAUAGUUUUGGAUGCUGGAAUGCCCCCAGACGAAAGUCCGGCACAAAGGAUGGUUUGCGGCUAUCAGGUAUAGUGGGUGUAGCGUACCUAACUAAGCCUAGACGGNUACGGGUUUGUGAGAGCAAGAGCCCGGAGAUGGAUUCUGAGACANGAAUCCAGGCCCUACGGGGUGCAGCAGGCGCGAAAACUUUACAAUGCCGGCAACGGCGAUAAGGGAACCUCGAGUGCCAGGUUACAAAUCUGGCUGUCGCGGUGCCUAAAAAGCACUGCAUAGCAAGGGCCGGGCAAGACCGGUGCCAGCCGCCGCGGUAACACCGGCGGCUCGAGUGGUAACCGUUAUUAUUGGGUCUAAAGGGUCUGUAGCCGGCCGGAUAAGUCUCUUGGGAAAUCCGGCAGCUCAACUGUCGGGCUUUCAGGAGAUACUGUCUGGCUCGAGGCCGGGAGAGGUGAGAGGUACUUCAGGGGUAGGGGUGAAAUCUUGUAAUCCUUGAAGGACCACCAGUGGCGAAGGCGUCUCACCAGAACGGACCUGACGGCAAGGGANGAAAGCUAGGGGCACGAACCGGAUUAGAUACCCGGGUAGUCCUAGCCGUAAACGAUACUCGCUAGGUGUCGGCCACGGUGCGACCGUGGUCGGUGCCGCAGGGAAGCCGUUAAGCUAGCCGCCUGGGGAGUACGGCCGCAAGGCUGAAACUUAAAGGAAUUGGCGGGGGAGCACCACCAUGGCGUGAAGCCUGCGGUUUAAUUGGAGUCAACGCCGG